rnacentral:rRNA from 1 species
UACGAAGGGGGCUAGCGUUGCUCGGAAUCACUGGGCGUAAAGCGCACGUAGGCGGGUUGUUAAGUCGGGGGUGAAAUCCUGGAGCUCAACUCCAGAACUGCCUUCGAUACUGGCGACCUUGAGUCCGGGAGAGGUGAGUGGAACUCCGAGUGUAGAGGUGAAAUUCGUAGAUAUUCGCAAGAACACCAGUGGCGAAGGCGGCUCACUGGCCCGGUACUGACGCUGAGGUGCGAAAGCGUGGGGAGCAAACAGG